rnacentral:rRNA from 1 species
GAUGAACGCUGGCGGCGUGCCUAAUACAUGCAAGUCGAGCGAACGGACGAGAAGCUUGCUUCUCUGAUGUUAGCGGCGGACGGGUGAGUAACACGUGGAUAACCUACCUAUAAGACUGGGAUAACUUCGGGAAACCGGAGCUAAUACCGGCUAAUAUUUUGAACCGCAUGGUUCAAAAGUGAAAGACGGUCUUGCCGUCACUUAUAGAUGGAUCCGCGCUGCAUUAGCUAGUUGGUAAGGUAACGGCUUACCAAGGCAACGAUGCGUAGCCGACCUGAGAGGAUGAUCGGCCACACUGGAACUGAGACACGGUCCAGACUCCUACGGGAGGCAGCAGUAGGGAAUCUUCCGCAAUGGGCGAAAGCCUGACGGAGCAACGCCGCGUGAGUGAUGAAGGUCUUCGGAUCGUAAAGCUCUGUUAUUAGGGAAGAACAUAUGUGUAAGUAACUGUGCACAUCUUGACGGUACCUAAUCAGAAAGCCACGGCUAACUACGUG